rfam:Rattus norvegicus chromosome 9, whole genome shotgun sequence.
UCUUAUUCUGAGCAUUCCAGUAACUUUUUUUGUGUAUGUACCUAGCUGUACUAUAAGUAGUUGGUUUGUAUGAGAUGGUUAAAAA